UACGUAGGUGGCGAGCGUUGUCCGGAUUUACUGGGCGUAAAGGGCGUGCAGGCGGUUUGUUAAGUUCAGGGUGAAAGCUCCCGGCUCAACUGGGAGAGGUCCUUGCAUACUGGCGAACUCGAGGGAGGCAGAGGAAAGUGGAAUUCCCGGUGUAGUGGUGAUAUGCGUAGAUAUCGGGAGGAACACCUGUGGCGAAGGCGGCUUUCUGGGCCUUACCUGACGCUGAGGUGCGAAAGCGUGGGGAGCAAACAGG
rnacentral:rRNA from 1 species